AGCGAACGCUGGCGGCAGGCCUAACACAUGCAAGUCGAACGAACCUUUCGGGGUUAGUGGCGGACGGGUGAGUAACACGUGGGAACGUGCCUUUAGGUUCGGAAUAACUCAGGGAAACUUGUGCUAAUACCGAAUGUGCCCUUCGGGGGAAAGAUUAAUCGCCUUUAGAGCGGCCCGCGUCUGAUUAGCUAGUUGGUUGAGGUAAUGGCUCACCAAGGCGACGAUCAGUAGCUGGUCUGAGAGGAUGAUCAGCCACAUUGGGACUGAGACACGGCCCAAACUCCUACGGGAGGCAGCAGUGGGGAAUCUUGCGCAAUGGGCGAAAGCUUGACGCAGCCAUGCCGCGUGAAUGAUGAAGGUCUUAGGAUUGUAAAAUUCUUUCACCGGGGACGAUAAUGACGGUACCCGGAGAAGAAGCCCCGGCUAACUUCGUG
rnacentral:rRNA from 1 species